CACGUAGGGGGCGAGCGUUGUCCGGAUUUAUUGGGCGUAAAGAGCUCGUAGGCGGCUCAGUAAGUCAGGUGUGAAAACUCCAGGCUCAACCUGGAGACGCCACCUGAUACUGCUGUGGCUAGAGUCCGGUAGGGGAGCAUGGAAUUCCUGGUGUAGCGGUGAAAUGCGCAGAUAUCAGGAGGAACACCAGUGGCGAAGGCGGUGCUCUGGGGCCGGAACUGACGCUGGAGGAGCGAAAGCGUGGGGAGCGAACAGG
rnacentral:rRNA from 1 species